GGCGAACGCUGGCGGCGUGCCUAAUACAUGCAAGUAGAACGCACAGUUUAUACCGUAGCUUGCUACACCAUAAACUGUGAGUUGCGAACGGGUGAGUAACGCGUAGGUAACCUGCCUGGUAGCGGGGGAUAACUAUUGGACACGAUAGCUAAUACCGCAUACUAUUGAUUAUUGCAUGAUAAUUGAUUGAAAGAUGCUAUUGCAUCACUACCAGAUGGACCUGCGUUGUAUUAGCUAGUAGGUGGGGUAACGGCGAACCUAGGCGAGGAUACAUAGCCGACCGGAGAGGGGGAUCUGCCAAGCUGGUACGGGGACACGGCCCAGAAUCCUGCGAGAGGCAGCAGUAGGGAAUCUUCGGCAAUGGACGAAAGGCUGACCGAGCAACGCCGCGUGAGUGAAGAAGGUUUUCGGGUCGUAAAGCUCUGGUGGAAGAGAAGAACGGGUGGGUGAGUUGAAAGUUCUCACUGUGACGGUAUCUUACCAGAAAGGUACGGCUAACUACGUG
rnacentral:rRNA from 1 species